GCGGCCGACCACUCCACUUCCUGGCGGCCGCACAUGAUAAAAAAGGAGGAAAUAGGCCCUUGCUCGGGCUGCGGCAGCGUGGAGACCUGUCGUAAUGCGGGCUGCAACCCGCGAGGAUGCCUCAUGCGGAGGCAGGGCAUCCGGAGCAAAGCAUAUGGCA
rnacentral:ncRNA from 1 species